rnacentral:tRNA from 2 species
GGCUACGUAGCUUAGUUUUGGUUAGAGCACAGCACUCAUAACGCUGAGGUCAUGGGUUCAAUUCCCAUCGUAGCUA